GGAAAGGUGGCCGAGAGGUUGAAGGCACACGCUUGGAAAGCGUGCAUACCCUAACCGGUAUCGCGGGUUCGAAUCCCGCCCUUUCCGCAA
rnacentral:tRNA from 1 species